UUUUCCAGCGGCCAGGGAGCGAACGGGGAUUCGCUGCAUGGGCUGUUCGCGUGCUCCACAUGCCGGUGCGGGGCUGCUUCAGGGCGCUGCUAAAGGACCUUGCCCGUGGUUAAAUGUUAAAUUAUAGCCUUCUCUGCCUCCUUGGAAAGGAGCUGGAACCCUGUGUAAGGCCCAGGUGAAGGAAUUACCUCUGCUAAUGAAUAGUCUUUUCCAAAGAAAACACAAAGAUUUCUACCAAGGACCCCUUUGCAGAGAAUGAGGUGGGACACAAAAUAACACAUGGCAUCGGUGGCAUGGCAUUCAUGUCCUUCUCCUAGUUCCUCUCUGGAUCACUGCCAUGGACUACUUUUCAGCAGAAGCCUUCCAUUAGAAAUACUGAAAUUCACUGGAUUUGACAAUUAUUACUUCAUGGUGAAACUGUAAAAACUUCUUAAACUAAGUAACUUUUUCUUAGGCUGAAGUCAGUAAUAGCCUGUUCAUUUUCCUAUUUUGCCCCUGAACUAUGGAACUAGCUGUUCAAAGAAGCCAUCAUUUGAAUUGUUGAGAAAUUGCCUCUCAAAGAUCUGUCCUGAAAUAACAACUUGACAGUCUACGUGCAACUAUUUGGAGUGGUACACUACUACUUUCUUAAAAAACACUGUAUUUAGUUUCUUCUUUGCUUUCCUUCACACUGCCUGCUCUGUAUGGUAUUUACAUACUAUAGGCAACCAAUUUAGGUAUCCUAAUUAAAAGUAUUGGCUUCUUAUGCCAUCAAUGGAAAGAGGAACAGUGUUUCAGAGGGCAAUUAAAAGUAAAACACUGAGAAACCUGAACACUUUUUGUUAAAUUCCCAGGACAGAUUGUGAAGAUGUCUGAACCUUCAUGAAGCCUUUUUUGUUUUUUUGCUUUUAAUUGGGACAUAAAAAACAUACUGAAAUUUGUUAAUAAAAACUUGCUUGAACUGCAGUUUAAA